rnacentral:sRNA from 1 species
AGAGAGGCUAACAGAUGUGUACCAAGUCAUCUUUCAGGUUUUCUGGUGUCGCUUUUAUGACUUUUGGGAGAGGGAGCGAAAGUGAAGAGACAAUGACUGGUUACAGAUCGUCCACAGAAGGUCGGGAACCCGUCCAACACAAAGACCUGUGGGGGAUGACUUAAGAAAGCUCAGUCGUGACCACACGGGGAUGGCUGCAAAUGUUUUCUCAAUAAAACAGAAAUACAGACGGCAGAACUGGAGGGAAGAUGGGACGGGAGACUUGGCAGGCAUUCCGAUAAAGUCAGCCCUGACAGCUGGAGGAGUCAUAAAAGCCUGGACUCCUCUGUAGAGUCUAGGACACCAGACUUGAGAAGCUGGAACAAGUGUGGUCCUGUGAUUUCUCUGGAAACAGCUGGGACCAAUCUGUCCCAUUUGAAACCCUCACUCCGCUGCUCACAAGUCAUGGGACCUCGGGCAAGUUUCUUCACCUUCCUGACAGUUUUCUCUACUAACAAAGUCAUGGAAUCGCACGUGGACAUUAAGGAGGGCAGUGUGUGUGGGAUGCUCAGUGCAAGGGAUGGUCUACAGUGAGCAUCCAGCAAAGAGCUCUGAGCACGUCUGGAGCAGAUCCUAAUUUGCAAGGCUGGCAAAGGAACAGAGGUCUCUCCUGCCUACUGCCAGCCCCACCCACAGGAUCUCACUGGAGAGCUCCCUGCAGCUGCUCAGGGCAUUUACACCCUCUCAUCCCCGGCAGCAAGAGGAAAACCAUUAGGAAGCCAACAGUAUAAAAGGGGAAAGAUGAGUGGCUGGAGGAAAGGUGGGAACUGAUAGAGUCAAGCGCCUGUCUUCUCACAGGGUUGGUACACUUGGGGUGGAACCAGGAAGACAGGACCAGAGGUGAUCCUGGUUCACAUAUCCUUGGGACAUUGCAAUUUAGGGAGAAGUGCCUAUGAGCUGGUAACAGAAGGUUUGGUUUGCUUUUGUUAAGUUCAAUUUGUUUCCAAUUCUUUUUAUCUUGGCUCUAUCUCAGGCAUCACAGACGCCAGAGCUUUGCAGGCACAGGGUGGGGUAGGGUGGGGCGGGGUUG